rnacentral:rRNA from 1 species
UACGUAGGUGGCAAGCGUUGUCCGGAUUUACUGGGCGUAAAGAGCGCGCAGGCGGUCGUGCAAGUCGCGUGUGAAAGCCCCCCGGCUCAACUGGGGAGGGUCACGCGAUACUGCUCGACUGGAAGGCAGGAGAGGGAAGCAGAAUUCCCCGGUGUAGCGGUGGAAUGCGCAGAUAUCGGGAGGAACACCCGUGGCGAAGGCGGCACUCUGGGACGGUACUGACGCUGAGACGCGAAAGCGUGGGGAGCAAACAGG